rnacentral:misc_RNA from 1 species
GAAAUGCGAUAAGUAAUGUGAAUUGCAGAAUUCAGUGAAUCAUCGAAUCUUUGAACGCACAUUGCGCCCGCCAGCACUCUGGCGGGCAUGCCUGUUCGAGAGUCAUUUCAACCCUCAGAACCCCUUGCGGGAUCUGGCGUUGGGGAUUGGCAUCCAGCCAGCCCCGAAAUCUAGUGGCGGUCCCUCCGCGACCUCCCCUGUGCAGUAGCGAUACCUCGCAGCGGGACAGCGGUCUGACCACGCCGUAAAACCCCCAACUUCUCAAGGUUGACCUCGAAUCAGGUAGGAAUACCCGCUGAACUUAAGC